UGGAGUUAGUGAAUGUGGAGUAGGUACCACCAUCCUUGCUUCUUUCAGGAUUUUGAUGGUGCCAUUAAUCUCUGAAACUUCCUCAGGUUUACUAUCUUGGUAGGGAGGGGAAGUUCUAGUAGCUUUUGCCCCAUAAAGAUUCUCCCGGUUGCCAAGUGUGUCUGUUCCAAUUAUGCAUUCAGAAACUGAGGAAUAACUGCAAGGUAGGUCCAUAGUCCAGCUGGGUCCACUGUAAUUUGAAAUUUAUGUAAAAGUCCAUCUAUCCUGCGACCAUUGUGAGGCCUCCUUAGCUCAGUGAUAUUUUUGGUUUCUAGAAAUGAAUGUCAGUUCAGAGCCAGGGUUUAGUAAUCUCUGAAGGAUUUAGGUAUUUCCUUAUUUUCCAUUUUACAGACACUCUAGUAAAUGGCUAUAGGCCCUUUUGGGAGGCCUUAUAGGAAUAUCUGCAGUGUGACUUUGUGGUCUCUUUUGAAGAAAAUUCCAUCACAAAUUUAAAUAGCUGGGAAAUAUACAAGGAAUAACAUAUCUUUAUCUGAAUGUUGGUUUUUUUGGUUAAUUUAUUGCAUAGCCUGGUGAACAUUUCCUCCAAAAGAUAUAGUCCAGGAGAAAACAUUUGCCUGACUUUCCAGCUGAAAUUAAGAUCUGGGCCAUUUCAAGGGCACCAUUACUCAUACCCUGGCUCUUUGCAGACUUGCGGAAUCAGUAUUUGUAAUGACCCAGAGCUGAUAUUAGAAACAAUAAAUGAAAGCCUAGAGAAUCAUUCUCUUAUAGUCCAGAAAGCAGCUGAUUAUUAUGACAAAGGUCUUUGUUGCCAGCAAAGGUCAACUUGUCACCUUUGCUCUAGCUGCAGAUCCUUUUCAGUGAUUACCUUUGAAAAGUAACUUAGGCCAAUAGACCAAGCAUGUGCUUCCUGACUAUCUGAAAAGACAAAGCAGGAGUGAGUUUAGAGAUUUAAAAUGUAAAAGCUAACCAAUUUAAGGUGAGUAAGAUGCUCCAGAAUUUUGCUAAAUUAGGGUAAAGCUCAAAUCCACAUUUAACCCCUAAGGCCAGUUGAAAAGUAUAGAUUCAAUUGUCCAUCUGAUUGCCGAUUUUACUAGACCUACAGAUUAUACCUAGAUAGCUUGAGGGUCAUUCUUCCCUUUUGAAUGUAUAUAUUACUGCUAAUGAGCAGGGCCAUGGCUCAGAAUGGGUGAGAAGCAGUUUUGGAGAAACCACAGAGUAGAAAACCUGGGGAAUAAUUGACAAUUUAGCAGCCCACACAGGCACCAUCUAGAAGCCUGCUUCAGCAAGUACAGAAAGCACUGCAUUACUAUCCUGGGAGGAAAAUCGACCUUUGAAAUUAUGUGCUAGAAGCUUUCACAGUUCAAAUUGGGCUGCCCAUUUGAGAUAAUAACUUAUUUAAAAUAGGUCAUUUGAAAUCUUUGUUGCCAAGGUUCAUUUGCCCACAGUCUCUUUCAAGAAUAAUCUCAUUUCUAGUUUGAGAUGAUUUCAGAAUGAUAGGUUCCUCCCCUCCUUUUCCCUAGUUUAAUAGAUAUUAGUGCUUAUUAGAUAUUUCAUCUGAUUAAAGCUUAGAUCUAGCUUUCUUUUUGAAAUGGCUUCUAUAUAUUUAGAAGUGGUAAAUAGAUGUUACAGUACUGGAUUUUCUUCCCUCAACUCUCUGUUGCUGACCACUGCUACUAAUUGCAAAAUAAGAAAUGAACCAAAAACCAAAUUAGGAAAACGAAUUCUAUAACAUACCAUCUACAACAUGUCACACUUUAGAAGCGCAAUUAUAUUUUUAAGAACCAAGAUCACAUUAGAAUACUAUGACAUAUAGCUUUUGUUAUCAACCUCCAUUAUUUUUGAAAAUGGUAACCAUAUAGAGACAGUUUCUGUAUUUAAUUUUUCUCCUAAUCUUUUCCAGGAGAUUAAAUGUCUAUAUAAUGUCUAUAGGUAAAUGUCUAUAUAAUCUCUACCAUAACGUAUGGUAUAACUUUCAAAUUAUUCCGUGUGUUGGUACAUUCAUUUCAGAUUCAUAUAUUCAACAGCUUUGAACCUAUCUCAGUAAUAUUUUUUUACCGAGUCCUUAAAAUUCACGUUUAUUGUUUAAAGGUUACAUACAAUCUUAUUUUAAGGAAUUUAUUCUUUUUGGCUUAAUAAUAGUGUAGUCAUUUGACACUUUUUUGAGGUGGGAGGCAUUUCACAAGAGUAUAAAUUGUCACCUUGCUGCUUUAUUGUAGAAAUGCCCUUGUUUUUGCAAUUAUUGAGGCACUGUAAAAUGCUAUUUAUCCAGAUCUAGGAAGAAUAGGAAUUUAUUUUGAGGAGCUCUUAUGUGUGUAAAAGGGUCUCUAUAAGGAAAAUAGUCUGCAGGCAAUAAAUGAUAAGGCACAGUUUAGUCAAGGAGAGCCCAAGACCCACAUGGACAUUGGUAGGAGACUACUGCUAAGUUACAUUGAAUAGGUCUUGGUCUCGGUUCAAGCAAAGUGAAAAAGGAACCUGUAGAGGUCAGCUGUUAGUUGGAGAAGACUUGGGUAAAUAUCUUGAUUUCUGAGGUGGAAGAUGGUAGAUUCUGGACACGGAAGAAUAGAACCAGUAUAGAUUCUCUAAGGAAAGUCCUGGUAACCAAAUAAACAAAACAUUGGCUGUCUAUUAGGGGUGGUUUCAGUUAGGCUGAACCACAUGAAAUUGUUGAUAUUGGAAGGUUUUUGGCCUAAAAAAAAUGGCAGUUUCAUAAGAUUAAGCCUAUUAAAUACUGUGUUUUAAUUUUUACAAAACUUAUCUCUCUUUUUUUUUUUAAAUGGCUGCACCCACGACAUUUGGAAGUUCCUGGGUCAGAAGUUGAAUCUGAGCCACAGCUAUGACCUACACUAUAGCUGUGGCAACGCUGGAUCCUUUAACCCGCUGCACCAGGCCAGGAAUCAAACCGGCAUCUCCCCAGUGACCUGAGUGACUGCAGCCAGAGUCUUAAUCCACUGUGCCACAGCGGGAACAUUUUUAAAAAUUUUCCAAGAGUGGGACGAUGAAGUCUCACCUAGAUUAGCUGCUUCAGCCCUAAAGUAUGUAUAAUGGUUCAGUGUCACCUUAGUGCUAAAAUACUAAGUGUCUGGUGUCUCUUCUUUAGUACUAAAAUAAAGGGCUCCAGCCUUGGCUCCGGGCUGCCCAAUGUUUUCAUCAAUGUCUUAGGUAAAACUGAGCAAGGCAGACUUAUUAAAUUUAGAGGGAACAUGAAUUAAGAAGUAUAACUAAUGCUGAAUUUAGACUGCAAAUGACCUCAACUAACUGAAUCUUAAGCUUGAUUCAAAAAUUAAGUAAGCAGCAAUGGAUGGAGGUUCCUGAAUUUAGAUUUAUUUAGUUUAUCAGCCCUUUUUGAAUCCCUACCAUGGGCUAGAUAUCAGGUGCUAAUCAUACAGUGAGGAACAAACCUGCAAGGGUCUGCUUGGGAGCUGGGGCUGAAAAGAGAGAAAAAAAUCAAACUACCCCCAUACCUAGGUCGGAAAGGAAAAAUGAUCCUCCAAGGUUUUUGUGAAACAAAUCCGAAGUUUUUGAUCAUCAGGAUCUUCAAUGCCACAAACUUUCUGGAUGUGUUAGGAACUGUACUAAAAUUAUCAUUCAGGCAUGCUAUAUUUUUGCUAAGAGCAGAAGAGCAAUGAAAACUUAGGAUUUGUUGUCAUGAAAGCAGUGUUUAACCCUUUGGGAGUUUUCUGGACCUUUCAGACCACCACAAAAGCUGUUCAGUGGUGGGGGUGGGGGUUGGUAGGGAGGGAUAACAUAUUUUGAAAGGGAUGUUGACAAACUAGAGUGUACCUAGACAAGGGGAAUCUGGGUAUUAAAAGAUCCAGAAGUCAUGUAUUUUGAGAAACAAGUGAAAGAACUGUAGAAAAAUGUACACUAAAGGGAGACAUACUGAUUUUCUUCAAAUAGUUUAAGUGCUGACAAGUAGAGAAAGAAGCUUACUCUUUGUUGCUUCACUUUGCAGAAAUAAAGCAAUGGAAAUUUCAGAGGGAGAAACUUUAUUUCUGUAUAGUAAUGACAGUUCUCAGAUAUAGAAGCUGUCCAACAAUGACACACAUGGUGCCUGAGUUAGUUAAGCAUCCUGCCUCUGGAAGGAAUUAUUUAACCAGAGUCUGGUUAAUGUUUGGCCAGGGACAAUAGAACAGCAUUCCUGCAUUUGAUAAGAGGUAGAGGGAGAUGCCCUAGUGCUGUAUAUUCAGCUCCAUGUCUCUGAUUCUUGUGGUAUGUUUGCAUGUGUGUAUGUGGAACUGUGGAUACAUACAGGUUUUCUUUUCUCCCCAAAGACCAGUCUAAGGUGGACUUAAAGUGUAGGUUACUUCCAAAUGUUUGGGACCAAUCCAAGUUAGAUUUGGAGAGUCACUCCAGAAUUGGGUAUAGAAAUACUAGGAAUAGAGAGGAAUGGGUAACAAGGCUGUUCUAACUGGCUUAGGGCUAGGACCAUAACUGGGAGCAGGCAAGGCAUCAGUAGAAGAAGGUGAGGCUUUAUUCUGAUUAUCACCCUUAGACCCUGGUGGAAAGGGUGGGGUGCUAGUUAGGACUCUUGGUUGCAAGAGACAGGAACUCCAACUCAAAAUGCCUUAACUAAAAAGAGAUUUAUUGACUCGUGUAACUAAAAAGUCCAGGGGUCAGUCUGACAUUAGACAUGGUUUUGUCCAGGUGCUGCAGUCGUCUCCCUUUUGUUUUCCUCUGUAUGGCUUACACCUGCCAUCUAGAAGGGUGCCUGACAGUAGGUAUUUAACAAAGAUUUGCUGAAGGCAUACAUGAAUGAGCCCUCCAGCUUGGCAGCUCCAGGUAGAGUCACCAUAGCCAAAGAUGAACUUCAGUGCUUGACUUUAAAUAAAACAAUCACUGGCGAUUAGGGAGGAUGAAACAAACUGAUUAGGCCAUUAGCCUUGGUGGACUUGGAAUCAGCAAUACCUUAUUCCAUGUUAUUCUCCAUCUUUUCUAUGGGACCAUUAAGGGAAGAGGGAAGGUCCUCUUACCUUUCUUUUGUAUCCUCCAUAGAAACUAGUUCUAAAUGCAUCAUUUUUAAUAGACAAGCAUGUAUUCUUAUUUCCAGAAUGGCUCUUAACAAGCAAGGGUGCUGAAAUGAUUGAAUGUGGCAUCUCCUUUGAAAACUGCAAUGAAAGAUUUGAAUGAAUUCAGGGUUUGAUAUAUUGCUUCCACAUAAUUGUUAUGUGCAUAAAUAUAAGUGGUAAAUAGGAGUUAUGAAUUCAUCCUAGUCACCACAGAAAGUUAUUAUUUCAGUUUUUUAUCAUGCAAUUAAAAUAUUAAAAUUGAAUGAAUAGUUCCUUCAACAGGAAUAAUCUUCACAGAAAAGCUUGCUUAUCUUUCCAUUGGGGGUAUCCGUCUUCUAGCCCUGGAGCAGGAUUAAGGGGUUUUCAUUAAAAAAAAUUCUUUCUCCCAAAUUUUAGCUCCUUUUUAAUCAGGGCCUGCUCCCAAGGGUAGUGCAGCCCUGUUCAUCAAAAUUGGGCCGUGCUACACAGAUACAAGAAAAUGGUGCUGAAAAUGAACUCAAGCAAGUAAAGGGAACUUUUCAAGUAGGCUCUUCUUUUUAAGUCCAUGGGGACAGAGCUGAUUUUUCUCAAACACUGGAAUGUUUCGGUAAUUUGGACUUGCAAGGAUAUGAUGGGCAAUAUCCUGAUAUAAUGUUCAGGGGACUGUGUUUUUCUAACAGGAAAAGGAAAUGAUUCUUCUUUCUCAGAGAGAAUUCCUCCAUUUUAUAUUUAAAAUGGCCUUGCAAAGGUACAACAGAACCACAAGCUGUGUGAAUUCUCUCUUCCUUUUCAGUCUAAUUUAACAGAAACUAAAAUAUACUCAUGUUUGGUGGAAAUUAAGUAUUUUCUGUUUAUUUAUCUUACCUGUUUGCUCUGGUUUUUUUGCAACCAUGUUCUUUCCAUGUGUGUCAUUAUAAUAGCAUUAUUUCCUGAGAGAUACUGUGUAUACGACAUGAUGAUUAAAAACAAAUAUGAG
rnacentral:lncRNA from 1 species